rnacentral:rRNA from 1 species
CGAACGAGAACUCGGAUUUAUUCGAGGGAAAGUGGCGAACGAGCGAGUAACACGUAAGUAGUUACCCCGUACUCAGGGAUAACCGCCCGAAAGGGUGGCUAAUACCGGAUAGUCUCGAAAGAGUAAAGAUUUAUCGGUACGGGAGACACUUGCGGUCUAUCAGUUUGUUGGUGGGGUAAAAGCCUACCAAGGCUAUGACGGAUAGCUGGUGUGAGAGCACGACCAGCCGCGAUGGGACUGAGACACGGCCCAU